GUGUGGAGGUUAAUAAACCGGUACAAGUGAAAGGAAUAAGAACCAAACCAAAGAUACAACCAGAGGUAGCUUGCACAGGUUUGAUAAUGAUUUGUGCAACCAGAAAUAGCUUGCACAGGAAGUUAUGGAAACACUAAAAUAAGAGAUUUCAAGAUGAUACGAAACUGUAGAAAAGCUGAAUAAUUAAAUGAG